rnacentral:rRNA from 1 species
CCUACGGGAGGCUGCAGUGAGGAAUAUUGGUCAAUGGGCUUACGCCUGAACCAGCCAAGUCGCGUGAGGGAAGACUGCCCUAUGGGUUGUAAACCUCUUUUGUCAGGGAGCAACGCCGGCUACGUGUAGCCGGACUGAGAGUACCUGAAGAAAAAGCAUCGGCUAACUCCGUGCCAGCAGCCGCGGUAAUACGGAGGGGGCAAGCGUUAUCCGGAAUUAUUGGGCGUAAAGAGUACGUAGGUGGCAACCUAAGCGCAGGGUUUAAGGCAAUGGCUCAACCAUUGUUCGCCCUGCGAACUGGGAGGCUUGAGUGCAGGAGAGGAAAGCGGAAUUCCUAGUGUAGCGGUGAAAUGCGUAGAUAUUAGGAGGAACAGCAGUGGCGAAGGCGGCGUUCUGGACUGUAACUGACACUGAGGUACGAAAGCGUGGGGAGCAAACAGGAUUAGAUACCCGUGUAGU